rnacentral:lncRNA from 1 species
GAUACCUUCUCGCAAAGCAUCCACACAGCGACCCACGGCCUCCGUGGCCAGAUCUCAGGCUCUGGCCUCACCUCUGGUUUCCCAGGCCCCACAUCCUCCGGCAAUGGUUGCCGGCAUGGAGCGGUCAGACAAUCGGCCUUCGACGGAUUUCGCCAACACCAUCUCGGGAGGAUCCCGGCAGGAACAACCAACGUACUGGCCGUACCCCCAAGUGACA